GUGAAUCAUCGAAUUUUUGAACGCAAAUUGCAAUCUUUUCGGAGAGUAUGCCUGUUUGAGGGUCAGCAUCAAAAAAAUCGACAUCGUUGCUGUUUCGCGGUGCCUCUCGUCGGAUAUUGGGUGAUCUUAAACCUUUGGGUUUUAAGCGGUUUAAAAUUUUCUUUACGAUUCCAUGUUCGUUCUUAUGCUUUUACUUCUUAC
rnacentral:misc_RNA from 1 species